UUUGGCUGCUUGGUAGCUCUGCAAUUGCGUUGUCUGGUUUAGAUGUGAAAUUUGAAUGGUGUAUUGGAUAAGGACUCAUUUUGAAAGAAGAUAAAAAUAAAUAUAAAGCUUAGAAAAUGAACGAUCUAAGGGGAGAGUAAAAACGUGGUGGAAAAUUUUCAGAUCAUGUUUCUUUAUUUGCACUAUAGGGUGAUCUGAAACUCAUAUGGGUGCGAAAGAGAUAGGGCUAAUGACGCUUCACGGCGAAGCGAGGAACGGAUGAAAAAUUUGAGGUUAUGUCAGCAACGAUUGACAAGGUAUACCGAAGAGUAGCACGACCCUACGGCGGCUAAACUUCCCCCAAUUAGUUCAAAGGUCAUUCAUACCAUGGUCGAAUUUUCCACCACGAUUCAGACCAAUGGCAGCGACCUCUACCAGGAAAACGUUGAUACCUACUAAAUUUCGUUUGAAGCUCAGUGCAUCCAAAACCAAUAUAUUCAGAUUCAGACUGAAUCAUUCAGUCCAGACGUGUUAGAACCCAAGCUAGAACCGUGUCAACGGAACCGCGAGCAAAGAGCCGCAUUUUCCUUCGUACUUCUACCAGAGAGCUUCUACAGUAGAUCGAUUUUUAAUUCCUCCGAAACAAUGAGCUACGGAUAUCAAGGACCGCAGUACCCGGGCCAAAUGCCCCCAAACGCCAUGGGGGGUCCGCCAGGUGCCCCAGGGACCUCACCUUAUCCCAUGAAUCCCGGUGCAGGCUAUCCUCCUCCAACUGGGCAGCAGACUUACCCUGGAAUGCCACAGCCAUUUUCGGCCUAUCCUUCUACUCCUUAUCCACCUAAUCAACAGCAUUCCUCGAUGCCUUAUUCUCAGCACGCCGGACAUGAGCAGCAAGUUCCGCAACCCCAGCAUUACCAGAUGCAGCAGAACGCUCCACCUGGCACUUAUGCUCCACCCGCCAACAAUCCUUACCCAGGAAAUUCGGUUCCGUAUCCCAGCCAUCCGGCUCAGCCGGUAAAUGCUGCCCAGUAUCCUGGUCGCUUUGUUCCUUUUGAUACAAACAAUUCCACUCCUCCUUUUCCUCAGAAUACUGCAACUACGUUCCCAAGUAAUGCUAGCCCUCACGCACAAGGUUCGGGUCCCUAUCCAGGUGCCUAUAAUCCUGGCGGCCAGGGAAUUGCGCCUGCGUACGCACAGCAUGCUAGUGCGACCUCAUUUCCUCCUCAGCAUGGAGCUCCAGUCCCACAUCAGGGGCAGGCUCAGUCUAAACUAUCCCCGACUGUAGUGACUUAUCCCGGCUUCGAUGCAAGUGCUGAUGCAGGAGCGUUGAGAAAGGCAAUGAAAGGAUGGGGAACUGACGAGAAAACCAUCAUUAAUAUCCUUGCGAAUCGGACAAACCGCCAGCGUCAAGAAAUUGCCAUACAGUUUAAAACACUCUACGGCAAGGAUCUGAUUAAGGACUUGAAGUCUGAAUUAUCUGGCAAUUUUGAAAAUCUGGUUGUUGCUAUGAUGACGCCUAUUGCAGAAUUUUAUGCUAAGGAGCUACAUAAUGCCAUGUCCGGUAUGGGUACAGAUGAGUGUGUUUUGAUCGAGGUUCUGUGCACUAUGACCAAUCAAGAAUUACGUGUCAUCAAGCAAACGUAUCAAUCCUUAUAUGGGCAAUCUUUGGAAGACCGUCUGAGGUCAGAAACUUCAGGAUGUUUCAAACGCCUUAUGACAUCCCUUUGCUGUGCCAAUCGAGAUGAGUCAAAUUUCGUAGACCCGGCUGGAGCACAACGCGACGCUCAAGCACUGUUUAAUGCUGGAGUUGCACAAUUCGGAACUGAUGAAUCAGUCUUCAACCAAAUUCUGGUGUCAAGGAGUAUCCCACAAUUGCAGCAAAUAUUUGCGGAGUACGAACGUAUAGCAUCUCAUGGAAUUGAAAAUGCCAUAAAAAGCGAAUUCUCUGGAGACAUUGAAGAUGGUCUCCUUACAAUCGUCAGAUGCGUUAAAAAUCGCCCUGCUUUCUUUGCGAAACAAUUGUACAAGAGCAUGAGAGGAGCUGGAACUGAAGACGAUCGACUGAUUCGACUGGUCGUCACUCGCUCUGAAAUUGAUAUGGGGGAUAUCAAGAGAGAAUUCUCUCGGGAGUAUAAUCAAACUCUUGAACAAUUUAUAUCGGAUGACUGUUCAGGGGACUACAAGAAAUGUCUUCUCGCUCUGAUUUCUUAGAGCUUAGAGAGGGCCGACCAAAUUUUUUUCCUUAUAAAAUCACGUGUCACCUUGCUUCACGUUUUAAAUCAGAACAAAAUGCUUGUCAUGUAAUCUAAAAGUGUUGCUGUGCCAAAAUUGAAAAUAAUAUACAGUGUCGAAUUGUGACAGACGAUCGAAAUACUUGCAAAAGAAAAAACAAAUAAUCAAAAAAAAAAAAAAAGACA
rnacentral:misc_RNA from 1 species